UUGAAUAUUUCCAAUACAGGCAUCUAGGAGCUCGUGGCAUGCGUGCAUACUCGAAAUUACCUAAAUCAAAACCACUUGACGACUUCUCGUUGACUGCUCAGGGAAUAAAAACUCUCCACAACAAUCUCCAUUACUCCCAAGCGUUCAAACUCCAUCAACUGGUUAUAAGAUUAACAGAAAUUCACUUUCAAAAGGAAUGCCUAAAAGUUCAUCUAUUGGGCCACAAAAUGGACAAGGUUCAACGCCAAUGUUCUCUCCAAUGGUCAUCUCAAAAGCAAGAUCGGAUCAAAACUACAACAGGGUACAAGCUGUAGGAAAAACAAGAGAGCAACUACCAAAAUGGCUACAUGACAAAAAACAAAGAACAGUUAUAAGAAAAAGACCAAAUUGAGACACCAAUUUUGCGUUCAUUCAACAGACGAAAUGAUAACAACGUGAAUUUAGGUUGUAAUUAAUUGACUUCCUGUGGAAACAAUCAAGUGCUUUAUUGUGAAAACAUGCCUAAAUAAAGAUAAGGAAAAAGCAGCAUACAUAUUGAAUGUUUCAUUAUCUCCCUUUCAAUGUUGAAAAACGUAAAGUUAAACUUAUCGACUUCGUUACCCAGUAAGUUUGUUUGCACUCGGACGGACGCAAGAAAUCAGUCAUGGUGGAAUUCGCUCAAAUGGAUCAGUAUCUUUAUAACAAUCUUCAAAUACACUUGACACAAUGUUCUCUGCUUCUUCUUUACUGAUGUCACUUACGCAAAGUAUUGAUUUAACUGCUCGAUAUCUGACACAUUUCUGAAAAGAAAUUUUUUAAACAAUGUGUAACACGAUUUCUCAACUGUAUUCGUAACAAAGAAUGAAAACUGAA